CGGUGGGGACAUUUCGUUCUUGUGUUGGCGAGCUGAGACGGGAAAGACAGUGGGUGGAGAGAGACAGCGAUUGUGUGAAGAGACGUAAUUGUGUGUGCAAAGACAGUGAAUACGAACAUUUGAACAUCGAACGGUGUUUACUACGGCAUGGAGAGACAAGAGCUGAGGUGUGAGCUGCCCUCAGCUUGACCUUGACCGGUGAGAUGGUUGAAAAACAUGGAAAAGCAGAGGUGUUGCGAAACAUGGAGAAAGGAGGAUGCGGUGCGAAAAACAGGGCAAAGUUGUAACGACGACCGUGAGAAGUUCCUGGCAGCCAGCUCCGGUUGCCGUGUUGGCAGACCCGCUUCGCGUCUGUCUCCCAGCUAGCCAUUCUUCAGGGGUCACUGGCGGUGCUCGAAAACGUGACUGCCUCACCCCCGGCCUUCCUACCGGCGGCCACCUCGGUCUCUG